rnacentral:rRNA from 1 species
GACGAACGCUGGCGGCGUGCCUAAUACAUGCAAGUCGAGCGCAGGAAGCCGUCUGAACCCUUCGGGGGGACGACGGUGGAAUGAGCGGCGGACGGGUGAGUAACACGUAAAGAACCUGCCCAUAGGUCUGGGAUAACCACGAGAAAUCGGGGCUAAUACCGGAUGUGUCAUCGGACCGCAUGGUCCGAUGAUGAAAGGCGCUCCGGCGUCGCCCAUGGAUGGCUUUGCGGUGCAUUAGCUAGUUGGUGAGGUAACGGCCCACCAAGGCGACGAUGCAUAGCCGACCUGAGAGGGUGAUCGGCCACACUGGGACUGAGACACGGCCCAGACUCCUACGGGAGGCAGCAGUAGGGAAUCUUCCACAAUGGACGAAAGUCUGAUGGAGCAACGCCGCGUGAACGAUGAAGGCUUUCGGGUCGUAAAGUUCUGUUGUAAGGGAAGAACAAGUGCCGCAGGCAAUGGCGGCACCUUGACGGUACCUUGCGAGAAAGCCACGGCUAACUACGUGCCAGCCGCCGCUGUAA